AUUGAACGCUGGCGGCAUGCUUUACACAUGCAAGUCGAGCGGCAGCGCGGGGGCAACCCUGGCGGCGAGCGGCGAACGGGUGAGUAAUGCAUCGGAACGUAUCCUCGAGUGGGGGAUAACCCAGCGAAAGUUGGGCUAAUACCGCAUGAGCUCUGAGGAGGAAAGCGGGGGACCUGCGAGGGCCUCGCGCUGGAGGAGCGGCCGAUGUCCGAUUAGCUAGUUGGUGGGGUAAAGGCUUACCAAGGCGACGAUCGGUAGCUGGUCUGAGAGGAUGAUCAGCCACACUGGGACUGAGACACGGCCCAGACUCCUACGGGAGGCAGCAAUGGGGAAUUUUGGACAAUGGGGGCAACCCUGAUCCAGCCAUGCCGCGUGAGUGAAGAAGGCCUUCGGGUUGUAAAGCUCUUUCGGACGGAACGAAAUGGGCGGGACUAAUACUCCUGUCUGAUGACGGUACCGUAAGAUGAAGCACCGGCUAACUACGUG
rnacentral:rRNA from 1 species